AGGCUCAGCAGCAUGUGGAGCCUCUACCACCAAGGAAAAGACAAACCCCACCAUCCAGCCCAGGCCAAGACAGACAAGCCCCACCAUCCAUCCAACCUCAACUAAAGAAAAGACAAACCACAGGUACAGAAGCCACACAAGCCCCACCCUCGACCCUGGCCAAAAAGAAGAAAACAAAAAGCAAGUAGACAUUAUUUGCACCCCAUGUGUAUAUUUGUUUCUAUUCUUUGUACCCCAUGUGUAUAUCAUUGGGUGUAAAGUUGUUUCUGCAUGUAGCCCCCUUUUAAUUGGACCAAACUCAGGGUGUAUUCACACUUGGUCUCUUUCAGCCCUCAAAGUGAACUAA
rnacentral:lncRNA from 1 species